AAUGGGGGCAACCCUGAUCCAGCCAUUCCGCGUGAGUGAAGAAGGCCUUCGGGUUGUAAAGCUCUUUCAGCAGGAACGAAACGGCUCUCUCUAACAUAGGGAGUUAAUGACGGUACCUGAAGAAGAAGCACCGGCUAACUACGUGCCAGCAGCCGCGGUAAUACGUAGGGUGCGAGCGUUAAUCGGAAUUACUGGGCGUAAAGCGUGCGCAGGCGGCGCCAUAAGACAGAUGUGAAAUCCCCGGGCUUAACCUGGGAACUGCGUUUGUGACUGUGGUGCUCGAGUGUGGCAGAGGGGGGUGGAAUUCCACGUGUAGCAGUGAAAUGCGUAGAGAUGUGGAGGAACACCGAUGGCGAAGGCAGCCCCCUGGGUCAACACUGACGCUCAUGCACGAAAGCGUGGGGAGCAAA
rnacentral:rRNA from 1 species